UACAGAGGGGGCAAGCGUUGUUCGGAAUUACUGGGCGUAAAGGGCUCGUAGGCGGCCAACUAAGUCAGACGUGAAAUCCCUCGGCUUAACCGGGGAACUGCGUCUGAUACUGGUUGGCUUGAAUCCGGGAGAGGGAUGUGGAAUUCCUGGUGUAGCGGUGAAAUGCGCAGAUAUCAGGAGGAACACCGGUGGCGAAGGCGGGUCUCUGGGCCGAUACUGACGCUGAGGAGCGAAAGCGUGGGGAGCGAACAGG
rnacentral:rRNA from 1 species